rnacentral:rRNA from 1 species
AGUGAACGCUGGCGGUAGGCCUAACACAUGCAAGUCGAACGGCAGCACAGUAAGAGCUUGCUCUUACGGGUGGCGAGUGGCGGACGGGUGAGGAAUACAUCGGAAUCUACUUUUUCGUGGGGGAUAACGUAGGGAAACUUACGCUAAUACCGCAUACGACCUACGGGUGAAAGCAGGGGAUCUUCGGACCUUGCGCGAUUGAGUGAGCCGAUGUCGGAUUAGCUAGUUGGCGGGGUAAAGGCCCACCAAGGCGACGAUCCGUAGCUGGUCUGAGAGGAUGAUCAGCCACACUGGAACUGAGACACGGUCCAGACUCCUACGGGAGGCAGCAGUGGGGAAUAUUGGACAAUGGGCGCAAGCCUGAUCCAGCCAUACCGCGUGGGUGAAGAAGGCCUUCGGGUUGUAAAGCCCUUUUGUUGGGAAAGAAAAGCAGCAGGCUAAUACCCCGCUGUUCUGACGGUACCCAAAGAAUAAGCACCGGCUAACUUCGUG